rnacentral:rRNA from 1 species
GUGUAGCGGUGAAAUGCGUAGAUAUCAGGAGGAACACGAAGGGCGAAGGCAGCUUACUGGGUCUAUACUGACGCUGAGGAACGAAAGCGUGGGGAGCAAACAGGAUUAGAGACCCUGGUAGUCCACGCCGUAAACGAUGAGUACUUGGUGGUGGAGGAUUCGACCCCUUCACUGUCGGAGCUAACGCGUUAAGUACUCCGCCUGGGAACUACGACCGCAAGGUUGAAACUCAAAGGAAUUGACGGGGACCCGCACAAGCGGUGGAUUAUGUGGUUUAAUUCGAUGCAACGCGAAGAACCUUACCUGGACUUGACAUGUUAGUGAAACUCCGGCGAAAGCCGGAGCCUCCGCGAGCUUGCUCAAGGACACUAUCACAGGUGAUGCAUGGCUGUCGUCAGCUCGUGUCGUGAGAUGUUCGGUUAAGUCCGAUAACGAGCGCAACCCCUAUCCUUAGUUGCCAGCACGUAAUGGUGGGGACUCUAAGGAAACUGCCCGGGAUAACCGGAAGGAAGGUGGGGUCGACGUCAAGUCAGUAUGUCCCUUACGUUCAGGGCUACACACGUAAUACAAUGGGAAGUACAGAGGGUAGCAAAACUGCGAAGUGGAGCCAAUCCCAAAAAACUUCCCCAAGUUCGGAUUGCAGUCUGCAACUCGACUGCAUGAAGCAGGAAUCGCUAGUAAUCGCGCAUCAGCAUGGCGCGGUGAAUACGUUCCCGGGUCUUGUACACACCGCCCGUCACGCCAUGGAAGCUGGUAGCACCCAACAUCGGUGUCCUAACCUUCGGGAAGGAGCCGCUUAAGGUGAGAUUGGUAACUGGGGCGAAGUCGUAACAAGGUAACC